GCAUCCAUGGCUGAGCGGUUAAGGCACCCAACUCAUAAUUGGAGAACUCGCAGGUUCGAGUCCUGCUGGAUGCA
rnacentral:tRNA from 1 species